rnacentral:rRNA from 1 species
AUGGUUCAUAAUGCGGCAUUUCUUCCAUUGCCAGCGCUCUUUAUCAUAACUUCUGCUCAUUACAAACCUAUUAUACGAAUAUCAUCUACUCACUACUGUUGUUCUUUGACCAGCAUCGGUUUACUGUGGGAUUUGUUAGCAUUUUGCCGCAAUGAGUGGCAAAUAGGGGGUGAUGUUGCACUCGGUCGGCCAGGCAGAUUUCAGGGAGGCCCAAGGCCAGACGUGAGGAAACGAGGACACCGACCAAACGUGCUCAUAAUUACUGGAGAUACCCACCAAGAUCACGGUGAGUUAUCUUUCCCGGAAGACGCAGCAUCACGAGCGAGAGGGAGAGCUGCUAAACUAGAUAAACACACAACCUCUUUCCCCUCUCUGCUCCAGCUGCUCUGUUUGUCGUCCCGGCCGACGUGGUUUGACCUGUCUCCUCCGUCCGCCUGCUCUACUGGACUGUCUUGUGACCUCGACCCCCGGGAUGACAAGAGUAACCCAAGUCCCUAUCUUGAGCUUGCCUUUAACGAUCAGCAGUUCCGGACAACUACCAAGGAGAAUGAUCUGAACCCAGUGUGGAACGAGCACUUCUACUUCAGGGUGUCUGAUCCAACUUAUCCACCUAAACUUUCCCUUAAAGCAACUGUGAGACAGGAAGUAUUGCAUAUGAAAGUAUUUGUCGCUGAUGAGGCCUCCAUCCGAGCUUCCGACCCUCUUCUGGAGAUGGAUAGGGGAGUGCUGGAAAAUGGUGAAAUGAUUGCUGUGAAGAAGAUUGUAUUACAACCGGCCAAUAGCUACUGCUAUGAAACACUGAAAGAGGUUGCACCAUACAAUGGGAAAAUGGUAUUUGCAGAGAAGUCGGAAAUGCUACUUUGCUUAGAGUAUCUCCCCACCGGAAGCCUCAGUGAGUAUCUAUCUGAUGAAUCUUGUGGACUUAAUUGGAGCACACGCUACAAAAUAAUCAAAGGGACUUGCUAUGGUUUAUGUCACCUUCACGGGCAAAAAGAUACCCCCAUUAUUCACUUGGACCUUAAACCUACAAACAUAUUGCUCAGCGACGGUAUGAUAGCAAAAAUUGCAGACUUCGGUUUGUCAAGGUUGCUUGAACAACCAGGCACUAUUAUAACGUCAUCUCGUUUUGGAACACCUGGUUACAUGGCACCUGAGUUCUUUGAGGAAAGUGGUCCAGCAUUGUCGACCAAGUCGGACAUAUUUAGCUUGGGCGUAAUAAUCAUCGAGAUAAUAACAGGACGUCGGAAAUACCCCCGUGAUGUUACUGAACCAUCAUCUUCAAAUGAAUUUGUCGAGAUGGCAUGCACCGGAACCGACCACCUAUCUCAUGUCGACGUCGCCGCGAGACCCCUCAUUAGCAGCUCCGACCUCAUCCAUGGUCGAGAUAUAGGUAGGGCCCUCAUCAACAGCUCCGGUAUAGGUAGAGGGCUGAAGAUUUGCUCGAUCUAUUGUAUUUGCCAUGUGGUGGCGCGCAGUGGGGUCCGGCUGGCACAACUCAAAGGCCGGAGCUUUUCUCGUGAUUUUAAUGCCGCCAUGCAUUUGCGUUUCAUCAAAAGCGCUCAGUGA